rnacentral:tRNA from 1 species
GCAGGUUAGCUCCGUUGGUAGAGCGCUCCAUUGGAAAUGGAGAGGUCCCGGGUUCGAUAACCGGAUCAGGCG